rnacentral:rRNA from 1 species
GAUGAACGCUAGCUACAGGCUUAACACAUGCAAGUCGAGGGGCAGCGCAGUGUAGCAAUACAUGGGCGGCGACCGGCGCACGGGUGCGUAACGCGUAUCCAACCUUCCCGUUACUCAGGGAUAGCCUUCCGAAAGGGAGAUUAAUACCUGAUGGUGUUCAAAUUCCGCAUGUUAUUUGAACUAAAGAUUUAUCGGUAACGGAUGGGGAUGCGUGACAUUAGGUAGAUGGCGGGGUAACGGCCCACCAUGCCUACGAUGUCUAGGGGUUCUGAGAGGAAGGUCCCCCACACUGGAACUGAGACACGGUCCAGACUCCUACGGGAGGCAGCAGUGAGGAAUAUUGGUCAAUGGUCGGAAGACUGAACCAGCCAAGUAGCGUGAAGGAUGAAGGUUCUAUGGAUUGUAAACUUCUUUUAUACGGGAAUAAAACCUCCCACGUGUGGGAGCUUGUAUGUACCGUAUGAAUAAGCAUCGGCUAACUCCGUG